UACGAAGGGGGCUAGCGUUGCUCGGAAUGACUGGGCGUAAAGGGCGCGUAGGCGGAUGGCACAGUCAGAUGUGAAAUUCCCGGGCUUAACCUGGGGGCUGCAUUUGAUACGUGUUGUCUAGAGUGAGGAAGAGGGUUGUGGAAUUCCCAGUGUAGAGGUGAAAUUCGUAGAUAUUGGGAAGAACACCGGUGGCGAAGGCGGCAACCUGGUCCUUGACUGACGCUGAGGCGCGAAAGCGUGGGGGAGCAAACAGG
rnacentral:rRNA from 1 species